AUGGUUAUCUAAUGCGAUGAUUUAAGUUUCGUUAGCCUACUGCUUUUAGUAUCUAAUGCUGUUGAGUUCUUCCAUGCAGGUCAGAUUCCACCCACGCCACUCAGAAAUAGUUGCUAGUGGAAGUUUAGAUCAUGAGGUGCGCUUGUGGAAUGCAAAAACUUCAGACUGUAUUAGAUCUCAUGAUUUCUAUGGACCUAUUGCUUCUAUAGCUUUCCACGCUGAAGGUGAUAUACUUGCUGUUGCAUCUGGUCAUAAUAUUGGCAAGUUCUACUGGAGUCAAAAAGUUUUUAUUUCCACAACAAGAGGACCCUCAAAAACUUAAUCUCCACGGCAAAUAAAUCCGAUUGUGUUAAAUAAGAAUAUGACAUUGCUCAUAGCUUUCAUUGCCUUAGUGGCACCUUGCAUUC